rnacentral:rRNA from 1 species
CCUACGGGAGGCUGCAGUGGGGAAUAUUGGUCAAUGGACGAGAGUCUGAACCAGCCAAGUAGCGUGAAGGAUGACUGCCCUAUGGGUUGUAAACUUCUUUUAUAUGGGAAUAAAAUGUUCCACGUGUGGGAUUUUGUAUGUACCAUAUGAAUAAGGAUCGGCUAACUCCGUGCCAGCAGCCGCGGUAAUACGGAGGAUCCGAGCGUUAUCCGGAUUUAUUGGGUUUAAAGGGAGAGUAGGUGGAUUGUUAAGUCAGUUGUGAAAGUUUGCGGCUCAACCGUAAAAUUGCAGUUGAAACUGGCAGUCUUGAGUACAGUAGAGGUGGGCGGAAUUCGUGGUGUAGCGGUGAAAUGCUUAGAUAUCACGAAGAACUCCGAUUGCGAAGGCAGUUCACUGGACUGCAACUGACACUGAGGCUCGAAAGUGUGGGUAUCAAACAGGAUUAGAUACCCGUGUAGUC